rnacentral:ncRNA from 2 species
UUAAUAAUUUCAUUUAAAAGUGCUUCAUAUUAAAAUGUGAAGAUAAUAGGGAAAUCGGUUAGAGUCCGAUGCAGCCCCCGCUACUGUAUUCGCUGAUGAACUUGUCUAUAACCACUGACGUAUAAGUUGGGAAGGAGACAAGAGUAGAAAGAAGCGUAAGCCAGGAGACCUGCUUUUAAAGUUGUUUCUUU